ACCGCAUGGUUCAAAAGUGAAAGACGGUCUUGCUGUCACUUAUAGAUGGAUCCGCGCUGCAUUAGCUAGUUGGUAAGGUAACGGCUUACCAAGGCAACGAUGCAUAGCCGACCUGAGAGGGUGAUCGGCCACACUGGAACUGAGACACGGUCCAGACUCCUACGGGAGGCAGCAGUAGGGAAUCUUCCGCAAUGGGCGAAAGCCUGACGGAGCAACGCCGCGUGAGUGAUGAAGGUCUUCGGAUCGUAAAACUCUGUUAUUAGGGAAGAACAUAUGUGUAAGUAACUGUGCACAUCUUGACGGUACCUAAUCAGAAAGCCACGGCUAACUACGUGCCAGCAGCCGCGGUAAUACGUAGGUGGCAAGCGUUAUCCGGAAUUAUUGGGCGUAAAGCGCGCGUAGGCGGUUUUUUAAGUCUGAUGUGAAAGCCCACGGCUCAACCGUGGAGGGUCAUUGGAAACUGGAAAACUUGAGUGCAGAAGAGGAAAGUGGAAUUCCAUGUGUAGCGGUGAAAUGCGCAGAGAUAUGGAGGAACACCAGUGGCGAAGGCGACUUUCUGGUCUGUAA
rnacentral:rRNA from 1 species